rnacentral:lncRNA from 1 species
GGUGUUGCACAACCUCAACUCUUCCUCUGGUAGGGCCCAAAGGCUAGAAAAAUUUCCGCACCUACAAAAGGCGAAUCUAAUUCCUUCGCAAGAUGCCAUUCACCAAAUCUGUCCCUGCUCAAGCGGCAUCAUGGCGAGAAACCUCCAGCCACAACAUUCGAUCCGCAACACAGAUUUUAUUCGAUCAAUCAAACC